rnacentral:rRNA from 1 species
AUUGAACGCUGGCGGCAUGCCUUACACAUGCAAGUCGAACGGUAACGGGCCUUCGGGUGCCGACGAGUGGCGAACGGGUGAGUAAUACAUCGGAACGUGCCCGAUCGUGGGGGAUAACGAGGCGAAAGCUUUGCUAAUACCGCAUACGAUCUACGGAUGAAAGCAGGGGACCGCAAGGCCUUGCGCGGACGGAGCGGCCGGUGGCAGAUUAGGUAGUUGGUGGGAUAAAAGCUUACCAAGCCGACGACCUGUAGCUGGUCUGAGAGGAUGAUCAGCCACACUGGGACUGAGACACGGCCCAGACUCCUACGGGAGGCAGCAGUGGGGAAUUUUGGACAAUGGGCGCAAGCCUGAUCCAGCCAUGCCGCGUGCAGGAUGAAGGCCUUCGGGUUGUAAACUGCUUUUGUACGGAACGAAAAGCCUUCUUUUAAUACAGGAGGGUCAUGACGGUACCGUAAGAAUAAGCACCGGCUAACUACGUG